UGGGCUCCCCAUUCGACC
rnacentral:snRNA from 1 species